rnacentral:snRNA from 13 species
CUCCAGUAUCGUAGCCAAUGAGGUUUAUCUGAGGCACAAUUAUUGCUAAUUGAAAACUAAAAAAAAAAAAAAAAAAAAAAAAAGAAUGGCCACUCUUUUUUUUUUGUUUGUUUUGUUUUUGAGACGGAGUUUCGCUCU